GGCUUCAUAGCUCAGUUGGUAGAGCAUCACACUUAGUCUAGUAAUGUGGAGGUCAUGGGUUCAAAUCCUGUUGAAGCCC